rnacentral:rRNA from 1 species
AGUGAACGCUGGCGGCAUGCCUAAUACAUGCAAGUCGAACGGAAGCACGGUAAGAUCUUGCUUCUACGGGUGGCGAGUGGCGGGUGGGUGACACAUGGAUCAGCAUCCUCUUUGUCUUGGGGGAUUUCGUAGAGAAGCUUCUAAUACUAGAGCAUAUGAUCUACCGCUUGAAGCAAUGGAUAUUCACACUUUUGCCGUCACUUUUAGAUGAAGUCGCGCCGCAUAAGCUAGUUGGUAAGGUAACGGCUAACCAAGGCAACGAUGCGUAGCCGACCUGAGAGGGUGAUCGGCCACACUGGAACUGAGACACGGUCCAGACUCCUACGGGAGGCAGCAGUAGGGAAUAUUCCGCAAUGGGCGAAAGCCUGACGGAGCAACGCCGCGUGAGUGAUGAAGGUCUUCGGAUCGUAAAACCCUGUUAUUAGGGAAGAACAAAUGUGUAAGUAACCAUGCACGUCUUGACGGUACCUAAUCAGAAAGCCCCGGCUAACUACGUG